UACGUAGGGUGCGAGCGUUAAUCGGAAUUACUGGGCGUAAAGCGUGCGCAGGCGGUUUUGCAAGUCAGAUGUGAAAGCCCCGGGCUCAACCUGGGAAUGGCGUUUGAAACUGCAAGGCUAGAGUGUGUCAGAGGGGGGUAGAAUUCCACGUGUAGCAGUGAAAUGCGUAGAGAUGUGGAGGAAUACCGAUGGCGAAGGCAGCCCCCUGGGAUAACACUGACGCUCAUGCACGAAAGCGUGGGGAGCAAACAGG
rnacentral:rRNA from 1 species